rnacentral:rRNA from 1 species
GGCUCAGGAUGAACGCUGGCGGCGUGCCUAACACAUGCAAGUCGAACGAAGCACUUUUUUACGAUCCCUUCGGGGUGACGAAUUUGUGACUGAGUGGCGGACGGGUGAGUAACGCGUGGGAAACCUGCCUUGUACCGGGGGAUAGCAGUUGGAAACGACUGAUAAUACCGCAUAAGCGCACAGUAUCACAUGAUACAGUGUGAAAAACUCCGGUGGUACAAGAUGGUCCCGCGUCUGAUUAGCUUGUUGGCGGGGUAAUGGCCCACCAAGGCGACGAUCAGUAGCCGACCUGAGAGGGCGACCGGCCACAUUGGGACUGAGACACGGCCCAAACUCCUACGGGAGGCAGCAGUGGGGAAUAUUGCACAAUGGAGGAAACUCUGAUGCAGCGACGCCGCGUGAGCGAUGAAGUAUUUCGGUAUGUAAAGCUCUAUCAGCAGGGAAGAUAAUGACGGUACCUGAGUAAGAAGCUCCGGCUAAAUACGUG